UAUAAUUAAUAGGAUAAAUAGAAAAUUAAAUGUUUAAAUCAUUAAAUUAAGAAGAUUUGGCGGUAUUUUAAAUAAUUAGAGGAACCUGUGUAUUAAUUGAUAAUCCACGAUAAGAAAAACUUAAUUAUAAAAUUUAUGUAUUGCUGUUAUUAGAUUAUUAUAAAUUAAAUUUUUAAAUUUUUAAAUUUAAUAUAAUUCAAGUCAAAAUAUAGUUUAGUUAAGAUUAAUAUGGGUUACAAUUUUUUUUUAUUGGAUAAAUUAUAUUUAAUUAAAUUUUGAAAAAGGAUUUAAUAGUAAAAAUAAUAAAUUUAUUAUUUUGAAAUAAUGAAAUAAAAUAUGU
rnacentral:rRNA from 1 species